UAUCCGAUAUUGAAAAAAGAAAUUUUUCACAUUUUUGUUAAGCUCCAGCGUUACUAGUCAGUUUCAUCACUCUGCUCAUCGUUUAAUGAAAAGAGAGACAUAUCAUUAUUGGCGUGUGAAUACACCCAAAGAGGAAUUCUGUUACCUAAUCCCCCUGGUCUCUCAUUCGAUCGUCUCCUCACCUAUCUCAAAAACGCUCUUGCCACUACUCUUGACCACUUCUACCCCCUGGCCGGCCGUCUCGCAACAACCCCCGAUGGCCGAAUGUACAUAGCUUGCAACGAUGCAGGGGUUGAAUUCCUGGCGAUGGACAACACUGGUCUCUCUGUGGACGAUGUUUUGUGCCCGGGCGAUGUCCCAGACUGCGUCAAAGGCUUCUUCACUUUCGACGAAUUCGUCAACUACGAGGGGCAUUCAAAGUCAUUAGCUGCGGUUCAGGUAACGAAGCUAUCCGACGGUGUUUUCAUCGCUUUUUGCACGAAUCACUCUGUGGCGGACGGCCUGUCGCAUUGGGGCUUCAUCAACACUUCGCCGAGAUCAGCAGAGGAGCCCCAAUCUCAAACUCACCCGUCUUCUCCCGCUACACGCCCCUCAACCCCCGGGUCGUGCUCCCGUUCCCGCCGGGCGGACCAACCGGCAAGCACCUUUUUGGAGGUGACACGUCGUUGAGGGAGCGGGUGUUUCACUUCAGCAGGGACGCCAUCUCAAAACUCAAACAGAGGGCCAACCAGGGACAUUCGGCGAGAACGGAGGGUGGAGAGGACCGUGGUGAGAUUUCGUCCUUCCAAUCGCUCUGCGCCCUGAUGUGGCGGUCCAUCACGCGAGCCAGGCAGCAGACGACGCUCUUCCGGAUGUCGGUGGAUUGUCGCAACAGGUUGGAACCGAGACUGGAGCGGCGCUACUUCGGCAACGCGAUCAUGGGCACGGAGAUUUCCGCCUCCGCGGACGAUCUCCUCGGCAAGGACUUGAGUUGGGGCGCCAGGUUGAUCCACGAAAAUGUGGCGACGUGGGACGAUUCCACGGUGCGGCGACGGGUGGCGGAGUGGGAACGGGAGCCCAGGGCGAUCCCGUUCGACAUCGCCGAGGGGCCGACGAUCCUCGUGGGGAGCUCGCCGAGGUUCCCGGUCUACGAGGCGGAUUUCGGGUGGGGGCGCCCUCUGGCGGUGAGGAGCGGGCACAACAACAAGUUCGACGGCAAGAUCUCCGCGUUUCCGGCCAAGGAGGGCGAUGGAGGUGUCGAAUUGGAGGUGGCGCUGGCGCCAGAGACGAUGACGAGGCUCGAGGCUGACUUGGAGCUCAUGCAGUACGCGUCACACAGUGGAUCCCGUCGAUAAUGAAGGUCCGACAAAAUUUGGAAACUUCAAACGCUUAUAACUCCGUUUAAAAAAAAAAAAAAAUUCGAGGUUCUAAAAGUGGUUCCAUUGGUUUUAUCGGCGUUUGAGUUUAGCAGAGAUUCAGUCUUGGCCCGGAAGGCUAGGACCAAUACCACCUACCCAUACCUUUCACCGCCGAGAAAUAAGCUAGGAGGUUAGGUAUCCAUGGUAAAAUU
rnacentral:lncRNA from 1 species